AGAAAGGGAAGUUGCUGGGCAGCUCGCAUUGCCGAUACGUGUAAAUAAGGCAAAUUUCUUGUGCAGUUUUCUCGUCUUUGACUAAAUUGUCACUUAUGUACUUUUUCGUCGAGGAAGAACGGGCCAUAAUGAACACUUGGAUAUCAAAUUUGUUGCAUGGGGUUGAGUUAGAUGCGAGAUAUGUCCGUUCUGGUGUGGCAGGUCGCAGUGAUGUCACCGUCCCCGGCGCACGUUUGUAAACUAUCGCUGAACCUCGGCACUGGACAACUUUCGAGUCGGUUAACGAGGGGAUACUUGAAGUUCAUUGAAAAAGACUACAGUACUGCCAGAGUGAGCAGUAACAGAGUUAUCAAUAUUUAUGUCAGAGAAUUAUUUAGGACUUAAAUUACCAAAUCUUGGUUUUUCAUAGAUUCCAAAAUCUGAAGAUGUGUUUCCUUUUUUCAUUGUCACACAGUGUCACUCAAUUAAAACCAUAUACUAUAGUAAUAGUAAUCCAUGUACAAAUUAUAUUUUAUUCACAUUAUUUUCCUCACAUACAUGUACAGACAAUCCAAUGUUUACAUUGUCAUAUUUCUUUGUUCAUCACAAGUCUAAAUAAAAUUUGUGAACUGUGUAACGUA